UUUGUAUUGUCAGUCUUCCAAUUCAGGGCAUUCCCACUGUUUAAAAAGGAGGAUCAAAGGGUGUGCUCCAAUUACAGAGGGGCCACAAUCUUAAGCCUCCCUGGAAAGGUCUAUUCAGGGGUCCUGGAGAUGAGGGUCCGUCAGAUAGUCGACCUCGAAUUCAGGAAGAGCAAUGUGGUUUUUGUCCUGGUCGUGGAACACUGGACCAGCUUUACACCCUCAGCAGGGUCCUGGAGGGUGAAUGGGAGUUCGCCCAACCGGUCUACAUGUGUUUUGUGGACUUGGAGAAGGCAUUUGACUGUGUCCCUCGGGGAACCCUGUGGAGGUUCCUGUGGGAGUAUAGGUACUGGGCGUUUUGAUAUGGGGUGUUAGGUCCCUGUACGACCGGUAUCAGAGUCUGGUCCGCAUUGCCGACACUAAGUCGGGCUCAUUUCCAGU